rnacentral:lncRNA from 1 species
CACUCUCCUCUUCUAUGUGUGGGUUGCUUUGUGUUAUAAUCUCUAUAUACAUAUUUUGUCCUUGUCACUUACGAUUUUCAUUCUAACUCCACAGGUUUUCUUUCCAAUUUGUCACAAUCACUGAAAUAACUUAGGUAUGUCUCUUUAAAUACACGUACGGGCCACCCAAUUUGGAAUGACUUAUAAAAUGUUACUCUAUGUUUGAAGCAGUUUUUAUGGAACACUAAUGAUUUGCACUGAGCCAAAGUCAUUGGCCUGAGGAUAUAUUCUCAGACAAAGCAUAGUAAAAAUCAAUGUCAUGAGUCUGUGCUGGUUGGUGGUGAUCGACAGCAUUCCUGUGCAAAGGGGUUUAGUUGGAGAGAAACUGAAGUUUUAAAGACAGGCAUACAUAGGCAGAAGAGAAGUGAUCCCUUGAUAUUCCUCUUCACUUCCUAUGUAUCAAUUCUUCGGUUUUGUGAGACUGAGAUAGGGAGACUCUUAUGGAAUAUCUGUCCUUUCCCUUCAGCUGCCUGAUCUUUCCUGGGCUCCUGGCUGGCCUACACAUGUGUAACGAUGGUCACCUCCACACUCAUGACAAACAGAAGGGAGGAGACCAACAAACUGCAUAUCCUACAUGGUAACCUGAAACUAGACUCUGUGAUAGUAUUAGUUUGUGAGUUGUAUCAGAAACUAUAUGAUUUUAGUCCUUUUAAGUUUAUUCAGGUUUAUUUUAAGGGCUAGCAUAUGCUCUAUCCUAUAGAAUGUCCUAUGUAUACUCGAGAAGAAGUGUAUUCUGUUUUUGUUGAUAUGUAAUAUGUAAAUGAAACCUUACCGGUAGCAGCUCUCAGAGAGAAUAAACCCUCAAAGUUUCUUUCAGACCUUUACAGGUGUCAGACUCUCAGUUAAUCUUCCCUAAAUCUGGGCAAGGAAAGACUUGGCUGUGUCAAUGCAGAUUCCCUACAGAUGCAAAUCUCCCCACCAAAAGACAACUUUGCAGGGCUACUUCUGCAGCUGGCUUUCUGAACAGACAUCUCAAAAUAUGUCAAAGAAAUGUAUUUUGGGGUAAAAUAUUUUUAAUUCCUUCACAUCUACAGCCUGAUGCACCUGCCGUUUCAACGCACCAUUGUUGGUGGCAACUCCAUUCUUCCCUACACUCAAGCCAGAAAAACAGAUUCUCCUUGAGGGAUGCAACUGGGAAAUUUGUUUUUAAUGCACUUACUUGAAGGAAGAAUAUUUUAAAGUAUUUUUGCAAAGAAAAAUGUUUCCUUUUGCCCUGAAGACAUUCAGAUGUGAGGAAAAUCACUAGGCUGG